GAUUAGAGUUUGAUCCUGGCUCGGAUAAACGCUGGCGGCGUGCCUAACACAUGCAAGUCGAACGCGCUUUGUCUCGCCGCAAGGUGAGGGGGAGCGAGUGGCGGACGGGUGAGGAACACAUGGGUACCUCCCUUGAAGUGAGGGAUACCGGCGAGAAAUCGCCGACAAUACCGCAUAGGCUUCAUGCUUGAGAGAGCAAGAAGCAAAGUCUCGCGCAAGCGAGGCGCUUUGAGAUGGGCCUGUGGCCGAUUAGCUGGCUGGUGGGGUAAUGGCUCACCAGGGCGAUGAUCGGUAGCUGGUCUGAGAGGACGAUCAGCCACACUGGGAUUGAGAACGGCCCAGACUCCUACGGGGGGCAGCAGUGAGGAAUUUUCCGCAAUGGGCGCAAGCCUGACGGAGCAACGCCGCGUGCAGGACGACGGCCUUCGGGUUGUAAACUGCUUUUCUGGGGGACGAGCAAGGACGGUACCCCAGGAAUCAGCCCCGGCUAACUACGUGCCAGCAGCCGCGGUAAUACGUAGGGGGCAAGCGUUGUCCGGAAUUAUUGGGCGUAAAGCGCACGCAGGCGGUUGCACGCGUUUCCGGUGCCAGCUCGUUGCUUAACGACGGGAGUGCCGGGAAGACGGUGCGACUUGAGGGCCUCAGAGGGACAUAGAAUUCCGGGUGGAGUGGUGAAAUGCGUAGAUAUCCGGAGGAAUACC
rnacentral:rRNA from 1 species